rnacentral:tmRNA from 1 species
GGGGGCGUUCCGGUUUCGACGGGGAUUUUGAACCAUGGGAAGCGGGUAGUGGCGAGUACCACUUAAAAAACUCAAUUCUAAAUAUAAACGCUAACAGAAAUUUAGCAAUCGCUGCCUAACGUGCAGCCGUCCGCCCGGGGAUAACCGCGACUCCGGCUCGGGCGUCGAUUAGCGGUGAACGUGACCGUGCAAAGCUUUGAGCACGGCAUGACUAAUGAAGCUACCGACCGCUUAAGUUUGCUUGUGGACUUAAGCGCGGGGGAAUCUUAACCAUAAGCUGCACCCGGAGAUGCCUGUGCGGAUAGAUUUUCGGACACGGGUUCGACUCCCGUCGCCUCCACCA